UCCAUAUCCCAAGACAAUCUCUCCACCAUAUAUUUUUACAUACAAGAUUCUAUGAACCUUAUCCUCUUUUUUCACAUUCAUUUCUUUUUCUUUUGGCAGCCUCUUUCAUCUUCAACAACAUAAAAAUUCCACCACCAAAAAUCAUACAUUUAUAAAACCAUCAUAAACAUUAAAACCUAUACUACCUUUCUGCUUAUACUUCAAAACUACCAUCGAAUCCAUGUUGACCAGCCAUCAUAUUUCGGAUCCUAAGGAUUUGAAGUUGGAAUUAUAAGAUUUCAUAGAAAGUGAUUGUAUUUCAGAUCUGGGAAUAUGAAGCUUGGAAUAUUGGUGGAAUAAGAAGAAAUUAAAUAUAUAGUUUUAGGAUGAGAUUUACCUUUUAGCAAUAAAUUGUAUAUAUGUUGUGAUGUUAUUUGUUUGUAA